UCUCCGUAGGUGAACCUGCGGAGGGAUCAUUACAGAGUUCAUGCCCUACCGGGUAGAUCUCCCACCCUAUGUUAUUAUUACUUUGUUGCUUUGGCGGGCCGUUAAGCUCCGGCCCGACUACCGGCCCCGGCUGGUAAGCGCCCGCCAGAGGACCCAAAACCCUGAAUAUUAGUGUCGUCUGAGUACUAUAUAAUAGUUAAAACUUUCAACAACGGAUCUCUUGGUUCUG
rnacentral:misc_RNA from 1 species